GAUGAACGCUGGCGGCGUGCCUAAUACAUGCAAGUCGAACGAAACUUCUUUAUCACCGAGUGCUUGCACUCACCGAUAAAGAGUUGAGUGGCGAACGGGUGAGUAACACGUGGGCAACCUGCCCAAAAGAGGGGGAUAACACUUGGAAACAGGUGCUAAUACCGCAUAACCAUAGUUACCGCAUGGUAACUAUGUAAAAGGUGGCUAUACUACCGCUUUUGGAUGGGCCCGCGGCGCAUUAGCUAGUUGGUAGGGUAAAGGCUUACCAAGGCAAUGAUGCGUAGCCGAAUUGAGAGGUUGAUCGGCCACAUUGGGACUGAGACACGGCCCAAACUCCUAAGGGAGGCAGCAGUAGGGAAUCUUCCACAAUGGGCGAAAGCCUGAUGGAGCAACGCCGCGUGGGUGAAGAAGGUCUUCGGAUCGUAAAACCCUGUUGUUAGAGAAGAAAGUGCGUGAGAGUAACUGUUCACGUUUCGACGGUAUCUAACCAGAAAGCCACGGCUAACUACGU
rnacentral:rRNA from 1 species